GCAAAAAAGCUAGCCUAGACAAACACAACAAAAACCAGAUAUAUAUACCAACCCCCCAUCAAACCUAAAAACUAAAGCAUUCUCAAACUCAAGUAUGGGCGACAGAAAAAGUUAAAAAGAGCUACAGAGAAAGUACCGCAAGGGAAAGCUGAAAAAGAAAUGAAAAAACCCGUAUAAGUAAAAAAAAGCAGAGACUAAAACUCGUACCUUUUGCAUCAUGGUUUAGCAAGCACCCCCAAGCAAAGAGCCCUUCAGUUUGAGCCCCCGAAACUAGACGAGCUACUCCGGAGCAGUCUCCAAAGGACCAACCCGUCUCUGUGGCAAAAGAGUGGGAAGACUUCCGAGUAGCGGUGACAAGCCUAACGAGUCUAGUUAUAGCUGGUUGCUUAAAAAAUGAAUAUUAGUUCAGCCUUAUAAGACUCUUAAAUCCAAGCAUCAAAGGACACUAAAGCAGCAUUAUAAGAGUUAAUCAAAAGGGGUACAGCCCUUUUGACAAAGUAUACAAACUUAUUCAGGCGGGAAAGGAUCACAACACACCAAGGAACAUAACUAUCGCAGUGGGCUUAAAAGCAGCCACCUAUGCAGAAAGCGUUAAAGCUCAAAAAGUCAUAAAACCAGAAAUAAAGACCUCCUCCUCCAACCCCCCUAAAAAUAUUAAGCCACUCUAUGCAUACAUAGAAGAAAUAAUGCUAAAAUCAGUAAUAAGAGAACCCACCUCCCUCCUAACACAAGCGUGCAUCAGACCGGAUAAACCACUGAACAUUAACGGACCCAAAACAUGAGGGGACAAUAAAAAACAGAGAUAAACAAGAAGACACUAUUACCCCAACCGUUAACCCAACACAGGAGUGUACGAAGGAAAGACUAAAAGGAGAAGAAGGAACUCGGCAAACAAAAACCCCGCCUGUUUACCAAAAACAUCGCCUCUUGCUAAAACAAAAGUAUUAGAGGUCCCGCCUGCCCAGUGACUAGCUUGUUCAACGGCCGCGGUAUCCUGACCGUGCAAAGGUAGCGUAAUCACUUGUCUCUUAAAUAGAGACCCGUAUGAAUGGCAUAACGAGGGUUUAACUGUCUCCUCCUCCCAGUCAAUGAAAUUGAUCUGCCCGUGAAGAAGCGGGUAUAAAAACAUAAGACGAGAAGACCCUAUGGAGCUUUAGACAAAAGACAAAACAUGUAAAAACACUCAAUAAACCCAAAAAAGGACAACAAGAGCAUAAUUAAACCCUUGAUAAAUGACCUAAAAUCUUCGAUUGGGGCGAUCACGGGGGAAAACAAAGCCCCCACGUGGAACGGGAGCAAACCCUUAGACUAAGAGGGACACCUCAAAACCUCAGAAAAUCUGACCAAAAAUGACCCAGAAUAUUAACUGAUCAACGAACCAAGUUACCCUAGGGAUAACAGCGCAAUCCUUUUCCAGAGCCCAUAUCGACGAAAGGGUUUACGACCUCGAUGUUGGAUCAGGACAUCCUAAUGGUGCAGCCGCUAUUAAGGGUUCGUUUGUUCAACGAUUAACAGUCCUACGUGAUCUGAGUUCAGACCGGAGUAAUCCAGGUCGGUUUCUAUCUAUGAUCUUGCCCUCCCCUAGUACGAAAGGACCCGAGAGGGGGGGCCAAUGAUAAAAAUAAGCCCCACCCCCAUCUAUUGAAAACAAAUAAAAUAGACAAGAAGGCACAAACAGCAUAACCGAAGAUAACGAUAC
rnacentral:rRNA from 1 species